UACGGAGGGUGCAAGCGUUUAUCCGGAUUCACUGGGUUUAAAGGGUGCGUAGGUGGGUUGGUAAGUCAGUGGUGAAAUCUCCAGGCUUAACUUGGAAACUGCCAUUGAUACUAUCAAUCUUGAAUGCCGUGGAGGUCAGCGGAAUAUGUCAUGUAGCGGUGAAAUGCUUAGAUAUGACAUAGAACACCAAUUGCGAAGGCAGCUGGCUACACGAAUAUUGACACUGAUGCACGAAAGCGUGGGGAUCAAACAGG
rnacentral:rRNA from 1 species